AGUCGAACGGGAUUGAGAAGCUUGCUUUUCAUGAGAGUGGCGCACGGGUGCGUAACACGUAUGUAACCUACCUUAAUCUGGGGGAUAGCCUCUCGAAAGAGAGAUUAAUACCGCAUAACAUUAUCGGAUAGCAUUUUUUGAUAAUCAAAUAUUUAUAGGAUUAAGAUGGGCAUGCGGAACAUUAGCUAGUUGGUAAGGUAAUGGCUUACCAAGGCUACGAUGUUUAGGGGAUCUGAGAGGAUGACCCCCCACACUGGUACUGAGACACGGACCAGACUCCUACGGGAGGCAGCAGUAAGGAAUAUUGGUCAAUGGGCGCAAGCCUGAACCAGCCAUGCCGCGUGCAGGAAGACGGCCCUACGGGUUGUAAACUGCUUUUGUACCGGAAUAAACCUUUUCACGUGUGAGAAGCUGAAUGUACGGUAAGAAUAAGGAUCGGCUAACUCCGUGCCAGCAGCCGCGGUAAUACGGAGGAUCCAAGCGUUAUCCGGAUUUAUUGGGUUUAAAGGGUGCGUAGGCGGUUCUUUAAGUCAGGGGUGAAAGACGGUAGCUUAACUAUCGCAGUGCCUUUGAUACUGAAGAACUUGAAUACACUUGAGGUAGGCGGAAUGUGACAAGUAGCGGUGAAAUGCAUAGAUAUGUCACAGAACACCAAUUGCGAAGGCAGCUUACUAAAGUGUCAUUGACGCUGAGGCACGAAAGCGUGGGGAUCAAACAGGAUUAGAUACCCUGGUAGUCCACGCCCUAAACGAUGAAUACUCGAUGUUGGCGAUAUACGGUCAGCGUCUAAGCGAAAGCGUUAAGUAUUCCACCUGGGGGAGUACGCCCGCAAAGGGUGAAACUCAAAGGAAUUGACGGGGGGCCCGCACAAGCGGAGGAGCAUGUGGGUUUAAUUCGAUGAUACGCGAGGAACCUUACCCGGGCUUGAAAGUU
rnacentral:rRNA from 1 species